GCCGUCGUAGCUCAGCGGUAGAGCACGCCCCUGGUACGGGCGCGACGGGAGUUCGACUCUCCCCGAUGGCU
rnacentral:tRNA from 1 species